AACCGCCUGAACUGAAACAUCUAAGUAGGGCGAGGAAGAGAAAUCAACCGAGAUUUCGUAAGUAGUGGCGAGCGAAAGCGAAAGAGGCCAAACCGUAAUCAGCAAUGAAUACGGGGUUGCGGACUGCAAUUAGCAUUGUCAAAGCCUAGUUGAACAGGAUGGGAAGCCUGACCAAAGAAUGUGAGAGUCAUGUAAAUGAAAGGCAGAGACAGCGAGCAGGAUCCAGAGUACCGCGGGACACGUGAAACCCCGUGGGAAGCUGGGGGGACCACCCUCCAAGCCUAAAUAUUCCCCAAUGACCGAUAGCGAAGAGUACUGUGAAGGAAAGGUGAAAAGAACCCCGGGAGGGGAGUGAAAAAGAACCUGAAACCCUGUGCUUACAAGCACUGAGAGCACGUCAAAGUGUGAUCAGGUACCUUUUGUAGAAUGGUCCGGCGAGUUAUCAUAUGUAGCAAGGUUAAGGACUUAAGGUCUGAAGCCGAAGCGAGAGCGAGUCUUAACAGGGCGAGAAGUUACAUGUGAUAGACCCGAAACCGAGUGACCUAGCCAUGUCCAGGCUGAAGUGGAGGUAAAACUCCAUGGAGGGCCGAACCGACCCCCGUUGAAAAGGUGGCGGAUGAGGUGUGGCUAGCGGAGAAAUUCCAAUCGAACUCGGAUAUAGCUGGUUCUCCCCGAAAUAGCUUUAGGGCUAGCGUUGUAUUAGAUUACCGGAGGUAAAGCACUGAAUGGGCUAGGGGCCGAGAGGUUACUGAACCCUAUCAAACUAAGAAUGCCGGAUAAUGAUAGUCGGGAGUCAGACAGUGUGAGAUAAGUUUCAUUGUCGAAAGGGAAACAGCCCAGACCCACAGCUAAGGUCCCAAAGUAUCGUUAAGUGGAAAAGGAUGUGGAACUGCCCAGACAACCAGGAUGUUGGCUCAGAAGCAGCCAUACAUUCAAAGAGUGCGUAAUAGCUCACUGGUCGAGUGGUUCUGCGCCGAAAAUUUAACGGGGCUAAACGAUACACCGAAGCUUGGGAUGCAGCAUUGGCUGCAUGGUAGGAGAGCGUUCUGUACGGGGUGAAGUCAUAGCGGAAGCGGUGGUGGACUGUACAGAAGAGAGAAUGCCGGAAUGAGUAGCGAGAUUUAUGUGAGAAUCAUAAAGGCCGAAAGACUAAGGAUUUAGAAGGAAGGUUCGUCCGCUUCUAGUUAGCCGGGAGCUAAGGCGAGGCCGAAAGGCGUAGUCGAUGCACAUACGGUGGAGAUUCCGUAGCCGCCUCUUAAUUUAAGCAAAGGGACACUUUCAAAGGGAAUGACCCGGGCGUUGGUAGCCCCGGGCGAAAGGGACCGAAAUUAGAGUAGGGAAGCAUUUCUGGAGGAAGGCGAGAAAAGCUUUGCGGAUAGAGAGAGGCGCCCGUACCGCAAACCGACACAGGUAGUCAGGAAGAGGAUUCUAAGGCCAACGGGAGAAGGGUAGUUAAGGAACUCGGCAAAUUGACCCCGUAACUUCGGAAUAAGGGGUGCUCCUGAAAAGGAGCCGCAGUGAAUAGGCCCAGGCGACUGUUUAUCAAAAACACAGCUCUCUGCUAAAUCGAAAGAUGAAGUAUAGGGGGUGACACCUGCCCGGUGCUGGAAGGUUAAGAGGAAGGGUGCAAGCUCUGAAUUGAAGCCCCAGUAAACGGCGGCCGUAACUAUAACGGUCCUAAGGUAGCGAAAUUCCUUGUCGGGU
rnacentral:rRNA from 1 species